CUCUCCUAAGCCUUUCUCUAGUGUCCCCAUUCCCAUUACUGACUACCAGGGUUUGAGAUGGUCAAAAACAUUUUUGUCCCAGGACUACGCAUUAUAUACGACCUGCAAAGUAGCAUCACAAGUUCAAACUAGUGAAGGUUGUCAAGACAGAAAGUGUGCAAAGUGCAUCUACUUGGUUCUGUGAAGCAGAUCAGCUCUUUCUAUUUGAAGCGACCUGUUAAAUCUAACACACUCUCAGAGGUCAUCAAUGUUCCAGAGAACCCAAUACAAAAUACAUCAAAAGGUCAGUUAUAAGUGGAGUGAACCAAAGCUUGGUGAGAUUUCUCAGUUUUCCAUCAGGCAACUUUUGUGGCUUCGAGAGGUAACAAAUUUCAGAUGUCUGAAAAUCAAAAUCAGCAUCAUGAGCGUUAGAUGUUCAAUUACUUCCCACUAGUUAGCUCUACCUGUCUGAGGCAGAAGGAUAAUGACAUCCAGGUAAGCAUUCAACCCUGAUAUUUAAUAUUAAAAUGAAAUUUAAACAAGUCACAUUGUAACUGGUCUAGAAGAGAGGAAAACAUAUUUCUUUGAUGUACACCAUAAGGGAACAUCUGUUACAGCUGGAUUUUUAUCUGUGUUUCAUGUUCCCGUUCCUCUGUGACAUUCUAAAAACAUUAAUAAAAGUAAACAUUUUUGUUGUGAUCUUUAUAAAUGUCUACUAAACCACCCCAAGAUAAACAUCCUCCACCUCCCACAGAUCUGGCUUUGUGCUGAGGGACAUGAAUGCACAUGUUCACCAGUCUUAUUUUACAUUUUGUUGGUAUAUCAUUGCCUGAGCAAAUUCUCAUCACAGUAGAAUUAUAAACACCCAAGAACUGUGUGAAUUCUGUACAUUUAUUAAUAUAUUCACAUUUACAGUAAAAAAGCACACAAUACAACAGAACUGGCAAUACAACAGAAUACACAAUAUACAAAAGUACACAAAACUGCAACACCAAAAUCUAUUCAGUGUUCUGCUCCGCCAUGUAUUAUUAUUAGUAGUAUUAGUAUUAGUAUUAAAAAAAAUUAAAUCACAGAUUACAGUGAGUUCUGUGAAAAAGCCCUGUACAAGUAUUUUUGUUGUCAAAGGUACAACAGUUGUUCUUAAAGAUUAUAUACCAUUAAUUAUAAUACUAUAUAUUUGUAUUUAUAUAAGUAACAGUAUAAACAACAUGUUCUCGAGUAUAUUACAGCAGUGAGAAAUGUUUGUACGGUAUGUUACCUUUUUCAUUCUGAGAAGGUAAAUAAUUGUAAAAAAGCUACGGGUAAAAAUCACCACAGAUGUUUAAAAACAGAUCCCACAAAAUCUCAAAAUCAGAAAAGGAGUCAGUUCACACCAAUCCAUUAGCAAUUGAAAAGCAUCACACAGUGAUAAGUAAGAGAUAAAUAUUUCACUGAAACUAGAAAUGAAGCGUUAGAAAAAGAAAGAAAGAAAAGAAUCUGCUACAUAUAUGGGAUUAUAUUUUCCCCUUAACUGUACAAUUUCCCCCUUUUUCCUUAAUUUCCUUAAUCUCCCUCUGCCAUGACAGAGACUGACAUAAAGAAAGCUUAUCUUUCUGAGCUUGGGACAGUGUCACAACUACUGUAUGUAUUGGGAUUAUAUUAUUUCAGUUUCUGUGAUCAUUUUGUGAGUGAAUAUUGAUGAAAUUGACAUAUUACAGUUUUUAUUUCUUAUAAACAAAACAGCAACAAUGAGGCCUAAGGCAAGACAAAUCAUGAACAAUACAGCCAAGGCAACUUCAGGUGAACGACCCUUAGGUGAAGUCUUAAGUUUCUCUGUGAAAAGACAAAAAUCAUUGUGUUAUUUAAAGCCCACAUCACAUCUCUUGCAGCAAAUAAAUUAUGUCCUUUGAACUCAGUGAAAGCAAAGUACCUUCAUGACCGUGAGAAUUGGUUGUAGAAACAGGACCUGGUGUGGUGAGAUUAGCAGCAGGCCGCUCUGUCAGAAAAUAAAAUGAAAUGAAAUUUAACAAUGUGCUCUGCAGUCAUACACAAGAGGUAUAUAUCUUAUAAAACUACAAAAGAAAAGUACCUAUGGUCACGCUGAAUUUUGUUUCACCAAUUCCUUCUUUCAUUUGUACCCAAAAUGUAAAUGUUCCACUGUGACUCGCUGAUGCACUUUCAUUUAUGCAAUGAAAUAUAUGACUGUUGCCACUAGUAAAGUUACGCAUUUUACUGCAGUUGAUUUUAGUUUCUCCAUGCUUCCAAGUAUAGCUGUCUAAUUCACAUUUUUUACAUGUAACAUUGCAGGUUAGAUGUACUGGUUUUCCCUCAGUGGUAGUUUGAUUUGUACAGUUUGUUGGUAAUUCUGUAGAAAAAAUAAAAUAAAAUAAAGGUUAAUAAAGUGUACUAGCAUCACACACACACACACACACACACACACACACACACACA
ensembl:lncRNA